rnacentral:rRNA from 1 species
AGGAUAAACGCUGGCGGCGUGCCUAACACAUGCAAGUCGAACGUCUCUUCUUUCGGGAAGAGGAGUGGCGGACGGGUGAGGAGCACGUGGGAACCUGCCCUUCAGUGAGGAAUACCGGCGAGAAAUCGCCGACAAGACCGCAUAGCCCUCUCUGGUGAGAGCCAGAGAAGGAAAGCUUCGCAAGAGGCGCUGGAGGAGGGGCCUGCGUCCGAUUAGCUAGUUGGUGGGGUAAGAGCCUACCAAGGCGUCGAUCGGUAGCUGGUCUGAGAGGACGAUCAGCCACACUGGGAUUGAGAACGGCCCAGACUCCUACGGGGGGCAGCAGUGAGGAAUUUUCGGCAAUGGGGGAAACCCUGACCGAGCAACGCCGCGUGCAGGAAGACGGCCUUCGGGUUGUAAACUGCUUUUCUUUGGGACGAGCAAGGACGGUACCAGAGGAAUCAGCCCCGGCUCACUACGCGCCAGCAGCCGCGGUAA